rnacentral:lncRNA from 1 species
UGUACAUAUUUGUAACUUAUCGGAGAUAUCAAUAAACAAGCUUUGCUUCAUUUCAACGUAUUAUGUUAAAUACAUCAAGGCCUUCUUCACUAAGUUCUUUGAAUUUUUCCUUUUGUUGAAUCUUAUAUGUUGAAGCUUUGUGAGUGAAGCAUGUAAGUUAAGGUAGUGCUCCCUUAAUUUCCCAAGUGAGGAAAACUUCUCGGUUGGAGACUUGAAAAAAUCCAAGUCACUGAGUGGUCGUGAGACUUCUGAGUAUCAAGGUGCAGUAGCUUAUGGUAGGUCUCCCCUAAGUCUCCGGUCGAGGGAGUUGACGAAUGAGGUGUCUUGCUAGUAGCCAAGUUUCUAAAGUAACAAAACUUCACCAUUUUCCUUUCUAAAUGGUAGUCCAAAACUCCUCCAACCGCCUCGCCGCAAGCAUCAACUCUAGUCCAUCACUUAUGUAUUGAGGAGCGAGCCCUUAUUCUAUAAAAGGGACUCUCUCACCUUCAAAUCCACAAGCCGAGCCAACCAAGGCAACAUAAGCCACAAACCAAGCAGUCUCGCAACAUGUGCUACUUCUAGUUGAGCAUCAUUUCAGAUUGGGCACCGCCUCAUAUCGAGUAUCAGUUCUAGACGACAUCUAGUUACUCCGGCCCACACAUGGACUGAAUUUCAAGUCUACAGCCAAAAGACUCUAUUGAAUGAAGACUUGGGGGACUACUGUUUAUACCAUACUUAGGGCCUCCGUAUUUAGAACUGUUAUAAAUACUCGGGGGACUCAAAUGUAAUUAUGUAAUAAAGGAAGUGGCAAAUAUGUAAUAAGUGAGGAGCCCUUAUUCUAUAAAAUGACUCUUCACUCUCUUCAUUGGGAGAGGCCAAUUCCUAGGCCUGAGAUCCCCAAAGCCUCUCACCCUCUCAGAGCCUCUCAUAUUCAUCACAGAGGCUCUCUCCCUCAUAAUGCUCUCAGAGAAAUACAAUAUCAGUGUGGACGUAGCCCAAACAUUGGGCUGAACCACGAUACAUCUUAUGUUAUUUACUUUCUUGCAGAUUCACGGUCGGAUUUACGUUGUUCCAAGACCCUCCGGUUUUAUGCAUCAACACCACUAAUUCUGGAACAAGAUGAUGGUGGCAUUGUUGUUCUGUUUAGUCAGAUCUGCAGCAGGGGUUAUUGAGUCCAUGACCAGACUUCUAAGAUAUGCGUAUUUUGAUUUGCCUCCGACCCUGGAAAUUCAUGGUUCCACAAAUUCCCUUAAGUUGUAUCUAAAAUUACUUGUUCCCCUUGAGGAUUGAUAGUUAUCCAAAGACCAUACAUUUUGAAGUAAGUCAGAAUACAUACCAUUUUGGUUCUUCUUACAGGUGGCAUUCUGUUGUGAUCCUUGUAAACUUCGUGAGUGUUGAGUCGUUCUGUAUUUAGGCGCAUUACCUCGCGAAUUGUGCCAUCAAUAUCAUACUAAUGAGGAUUGUCUCAGUUAGUGCGCAGAGAACGAGGUUUUGUCCGUUGUUUUCUCCGAUUAAAUUCAACUGUCGAAUUCAUUAUCUCGAGAUGCGACCAUCCAUAUUCAAUAGUAGAUUAAUUAUGAAAUAUCGCCUUUAAAUAUCCUCAGAUCUCUUGAAAAAUAAAAUAAAUUGACUACCGAAGUUGAGUCAACACCGAAUUCAAUACAACUCGUCACUCAAGACCCUCUCAAACCUCCUCUUCACUCUCAUUGAUUUCAACGCAAAGACAUACCGCGAAAUCAAAUAACCUUCCAAAUUACCUUUAUGCAUUAAUGUAUAACUUGGUGAUUAAUUAGAAGAAAUCAAGUAAAUAUAGUUCUGACUGGGGCCAUCAUGCUCAAAGGAAAGCUUAACCUUCCGAACAACGUCAAGCAUGCCUUCACAAACCGGCUUGGCAACUUGCCCAAAGGGCACGACUCUCGUAGAGAACAAGAUUGAUGAAGAGGAUGAAGAUUGUAUUGAUGACAAGAUAGAUAAAGAAAAUAUAUGAGGGUCCGGUAGAGACUCGAAAAAGAAGGGUCAAAUUCAGUGUUUGUGUUGGCAGCCAUUGAAGUGGAUGAUAAAAGGUCCGAAUUUCAAUAUGAGGUGAGAAUUAAUAAGUGAGAAAGAACAGAGAAAUAGUACAAUUUUGUUUUGAAAAUGAUGAUUUUUCCGCUAAACUAACAGAAUCAUCGAUGAAAUGUAGAUUACAAGUAUAGAAGGGAAUUCGGCAAAUUACUCAUAAGGUAAAGGGUUGGUACUAGGCCUGACAAUUCCUAACAUGACCCGAUAACCCGACACGACACGAUACAAAAUUAACAGGUAUUUGGGUCGACACGAUAGUGAAUCGGGUCGUUAUCGGGUAAUCCGAUAAGCACAUGUUAAGAUAACAGGUUGGUUCGGGUAUACACGUAGGUAACACGAUACACGAUAAGCAAAAUAUU